rnacentral:lncRNA from 1 species
GUUCAUGACGCCCUAUGCAUUUCAAUAUUAACAAAAUUAUUAUGUUGGGAAAAUGUAGAACCAAUGUUGGGCCUUGCCAGACCAGCUUUAAUCUAAAACGAAUUAUCAAGGGGGUCCCCAUAACAACCCCGGUCGUGUUAGGAGCGCUCGUUUAUGGAACAUAACACCGGUAGCCGAAACUAAGGGGGCAAAGGUGGAACAAAAC